rnacentral:rRNA from 1 species
CCUACGGGAGGCAGCAGUGAGGAAUAUUGGUCAAUGGACGAGAGUCUGAACCAGCCAAGUAGCGUGAAGGAUGACUGCCCUAUGGGUUGUAAACUUCUUUUAUAUGGGAAUAAAAUGUUCCACGUGUGGGAUUUUGUAUGUACCAUAUGAAUAAGGAUCGGCUAACUCCGUGCCAGCAGCCGCGGUAAUACGGAGGAUCCGAGCGUUAUCCGGAUUUAUUGGGUUUAAAGGGAGCGUAGGUGGGUUGUUAAGUCAGUUGUGAAAGUUUGCGGCUCAAACGUAAAAUUGCAGUUGAAACUGGAAGUCUUGAGUACAGUAGAGGGGGGCGGAAUUCGGGGUGUAGCCGGGAAAUUGUUAGAGAUCACGAAGAACUCCGAUUGCGAAGGCAGCUCACUGGACUGCAACUGACAAUGAGGCUCGAAAGUGUGGGUAUCAAACCGGAUUAGAUACCCGAGUAGUC